UUCUCCUCCUCCUCUCUUCCUCCUUUAGAUUCUUUCAUCCUUUGGAGUGUUCAACGUGCUUGAAGAAAAAGAAAAAGAUAAACCAUCGAAGUUGCUUGUAGGCUAGCACCUCCAAGCCCCUGAUCUGUGCCAAUCUUUACGUGGAUUUUUUUAUAGAGGCUAGACGACUUCAUGUGGCUGCAAGUGAUCUGAAGAACAUCCUCUCUAAGCAUUGGACUAGAGAAAAUCAAGAUUUAAUUGGUUUGAUAAAUGUUUCUAACUUGUCUUAAUCAUUGUUGGUGCAAAAAUCCAUCUGCGUCGGAGAAGCU
rnacentral:lncRNA from 1 species